rnacentral:rRNA from 1 species
GACGAACGCUGGCGGCGUGCUUAACACAUGCAAGUCGAACGGUGAAGCGCCCUCCUUUUUGGCGGGUGUGGACGAGUGGCGAACUGGUGAGUAACACGUUAGUAACCUGCCCCCUUUUUCUGGAUAACAGCAUGAAAGUGAGGCUAAUACGGGUUAUUCUGGAUCUGUGGCAUGAUGGGUCUGGGAAAGAUUGUGUUUCGGUGGGGGAUGGUCUCGCGGCCUAUCAGCUAGUUGGUGGGGUGAUGGCCUACGUUGGCGGUGACGGGUAGCCGGCCUGGGAGGGUGGGCGGUCAGAGGGGGACUAAGACGCGGAGAAGACUCCGACAGGAGGCAGCGGGGAAUGAUAGUCAACGGUGGGAACAAUCCUGAAGCAGCGACGCGGCGGGAGCGAUGGCGGCCGUCGGGUAGUGAACCUCUUUCGGGAGUGAAGCGGUCCUGCCUAGUAUGUGGGGGGAUUGACGGUAGCUGGAUAAGAAGCGCCGGCUAACUACGUG